ACUGUAGCAUGUCUCUAUUUUCAUGGGUGUAUUCCUCUUCCAUUAUCAGCUAACAAUGGAUGGAGCUUGUCAAGUUGAGAGCUUGAUCAGACUGGGUGGAAAACAUAUGUGAACUUCAGGUCACUCCACAUCCUUUGGGGGUUUGGCCUUUGGGUGAGCCACUCAGGAACAGUCAGCUCUGUCUUAAGGCAGCUUCAGCAUUGUCUUGGCUGUUUGCUUCAGGUAAUUGAGGUGCUGAAAGGUGAACUGUCACUCGGUCUCAAGUUGCUGCACUCUGAAACAAGUUUUUUUUUCCAAGGACCUUUCUGCAUUUUGCUGCAUUCAUCCUUGUGACCACUUCCUGCUCCCUGCCACUCAGAAGCACACCCACAACAUCAUGUUGGCACCUUAAUGUUUCACAGUAGAGAUGGCAUUAGCAGGCGAUGAGCAGUGCCUGAUGUUCAACAAAGAGCUUAAAGUUUUCCUCAAAGAGUUCACUUUUUCUUUCGUCAGAUCAGAGAAUAUUUUCUGCCACAUGGUCUUUGAGUUUUUAUAUGCCAUUUGGCAAACUCCACACGGGCUGCCAAAAACAGGCAGACUGAUGCUGAGACAGCC
ensembl:lncRNA